CAAGCCGAACGAUAGGAGGCGGGAGAAAGCAAGCCGAACAACAGGAGGUAGGGAAAAGCAAGCCGAACAACAGGAGGCAGGAGAGAGCAAGCCGAACGAUAGGAGGCAGGGGAAAGCAAGUCGAACGAUAGGAGGCAGGGGAAAGCAAGCCUAACGGUAGGAGAUAGGGGGAAGCAAGCCGAACAGUAGGAGAUAGGGGGAAGCAAGCCGAACGGUAAGAGGUAGGAGGAAGCAAGCCGAACGAUAAGAGGUAGGGGGAAGCAAGCCGAAUGCUAAGAGGCAGGGGAAAGUAAGCCGAAUGGUAGGAAGGGGAAGCAAGCUGAACAGUAGGAGGCAGGGUGAAGAAUUGUAACUGAUCGGUUGAAGAGUUAUUGUCUUAUGGCGAAGAAGAUAAACGGGAAAUAAUUAUAGUAAAUAGAGCUAUAUUCUAAGAAAAUAUUCAAUGUAAGAUAAUUAUAGUAAAUAGAGCUAUAUUCUAAGGAAAUAUUUAGUAUAAAUAAUUAUAGUAAAUAAAGUUAUCUUUUAAGAAAAUAUUCAAUAUAAGUUGGACGGAAAAUAAUUAGUAUAAAAUAACUAAGGUAUAUUGUUAGGGUUAUAUUUUUUGUUAUUGAGUUUGUUGACAAUAUUUGAAAAGCAUUGUAGAUUAGAGCAUUUAUAAACAUGUAAUUUAGAUGUUUAAAGGAUGUGAAUUAAAGCGAUUAUCA
rnacentral:lncRNA from 1 species